rnacentral:rRNA from 1 species
UAGCAAGUCGAACGAGAAUCUGGAGCUUGCUUCAGAGGAAAGGUAGGCGGACGGGUGGAGUAAUAUGUAGAGAAUCUGCCCUUGAGCGGGGGACGAACAGAGGGAAACUUCUGCUAAUACCCCAUAUGAGCUUAGUUGAAAUACUAAUCUUGAAAACUCCGGUGCUCAAGGAUGAGUCUGCAUCUGAUUAGCUUGUUGGCGGUGUAAUGGACCACCAAGGCGACGAUCAGUAGCUGGUUUGAGAGGAUGAUCAGCCACAAUGGGACUGAGACACGGCCCAUACUCCUACGGGAGGCAGCAGUAGGGAAUUUUGCGCAAUGGGCGAAAGCCCUGACGCAGCAACGCCGCGUGAACGAUUAAGCCCUUCGGGGUGUAAAGUUCUGUCAGUAGGGACGAAUUUUGACGGUACCUACAGAGGAAGCACCGGCUAACUCCGUGCCAGCCGCGGC